UUCUCACUGUUACAAGUAUUAUAUCCCUGUCAAAGCCAUGGUGGUAGUCAUUGUUCUUAUAUAUAAAGUUCUUUAUAUUAAUAAUACAAAAUAAUAAUUACAUCAAUCUGCUAUACUAAUUGAUUCUCUACUCCCCAUCAAUCCGCUAUACUAAUUGAUUCUCUACUCCCCAUCAAUCCGCUAUACUAAUUGAUUCUCUACUCCCCAUCAAUCCGCUAUACUAAUUGAUUCUCUACUCCCCAUCAAUCCGCUAUACUAAUUGAUUCUCUACUCCCCAGGUAUUUUCCGCUUCCACGAUUGACAUCUGCAGCAUGAGAGAGAGAGAGAGAGAGAGGUGUUCGAUGGAGAGAGCGUCGAGGCAGUGGCAGCAGGCAGGACACGAGAGGGCGGCUGCAAGGGGUGAGGAGGGAACGAAGAAAGUGAGUGAUCCAAGUGUGCCCGACCACGCCGACGCAGACCGACGCUCGGUCGGCGACUCCCACUCCUCUUUCCACUCUCUUCUCCCCUCCUUACAUUCCUUCUCUCUCCCUCUCAUCUUCUUUGUCUCCUGCAUGGACCGAUCCAUGGCGCUGCAUCGAAUCGAGCAUCGUCGUCGUCGCCCAUUGCCUGCUGGUCACCGCCGCCGCCGAAAAAGCUCGCCUCCGCGCCCCAUGCCUCGGAUGCUCCUCAUGCAUCUGCCCCCUUGCUCUCCUCGCUGUGCUCACGCCCCGCAAACCACGUGCUUGUGCCGACGGGGAGAGUAGAGGAGUAGACGACCACGACCUCCUCCUCCUCACGCAUGUGCCCCUCCCUCCGAUCCAUGGCGCUGCAUCGAAUCGAGCGUCCCCGUCAUCGCCCAUGGCUUGCAGGUCACCGCCGCCGCCGAAGAAGCUCGCCUACGCGUCCGCAUGCCUCGGAUCCGGCAGGCGCGCUGCCCCCUGGUCCUCCUCCUCAUGUAUCUGCUCUCUUCAUCUCCUCGCUCUCCUCACGCCCCGCGAUAGUGUCCUGAUCACUCGAACCCAUCUGGGUGGAGAACACCUAAUUUAGGUGGUCAGAUCCUUAUAUAACAGUAAGUUCACCAUGUCAGCCUAGUAAAAUCCAAUCUAAACACCAUGAAAUUUACAGAAUAAAAUACAAACAAGCAUGCUCAGUUAAAUCCUGCCUAUAGAUUAUAGAACUGUGAAAUGCCUAAACGAUGAUAUGCUAACACCUUCUACAAGCAUUCUGUCACUUAGCUGGUGUCAAAAUAACAACACAAUCAGCCAUGUUUAUCAAUAUAGAAGUUAUGUGGUUGUGUCGAUAUAAAAGACGCUGCACAAUAGUACCUUGGGUGGCAUCAGGAAGAUAGCCUUUCUGGAGGUGGCUCAGGCUUGUCCUGCAAACAACCCAUUAUAUAUAUCGGCAACAAACCAUGCGCGUGUGCGCGCACGCACACACACAUACAAGGAAAGAGAACCAUUGUUCUUCAGUUAUUUCCAUGUAAACAGAUUUUGAACGACAAUGUGAGAACAUGAGGACAUAAAGAUCACAAACAACAGUACAGGAAACAUAAACAUUCAUGUAGCGACCCUGUUAAAUAUUGUUCCCACUCAGCAGCUAUCCCAUAGAUAGAAAGGCGAACAACAAGGAACACAUGUAUGAGAUAAAUGGUGACCUACAGUCUUAUGUAGGCGCAUCAAUAAACUACACAACAUUCUUGGAGAAAAUAGAGAAUGCAAGAAAAUACAUACAAAUGCAUUGAGUCAAUAAUCAAAUAACAUACUUCUUAUUGUCUAUUUUGCUUGUAAUAACAAAGCCAAAACCAUUUGCUAUUUCAAACGUAAACUCACGCAUCUCUUUUACAAAUCAGACAAGAGCACCUACCAUCAAGAGCAGCCUGAAACAACGUCAUGAAGCAAGAAACAACAGUGGCACUAAAAACAUACUUUACUUUUGUAAGUGCGAACUUCUACUUCCAUCCAGCGACCAAAUUAUAGGACUGCCUUCUGCAAGGAUUUGAAGAAAAGAGUUACCCCAAAUGCAGACUUCUACAUAUGAGAAACUGCAACAACCUGCUUGUCCUCUUGUACAAAUUCCUCAUAUGAACAAUCAUAUUUCCAUGUGUAAAAUAUAAAUACAAAAUACUGGUUAUUCUACCCAUACAAGACAAGCUGAAGAAUAAUAAUCUAACCUUUCAUGGAUCACCAUAAUAAAAGCUAUUGUAGAAAAUAAUUUGGGCAAUCAAUUUCUGUGAGACCAAAAAAUGCAAGAAAAGCCGAUUAGUUGGGUCAGAAUAUUGCACCACUCGAUCAUCUCGGCAUUAUAGUUGCAGCCACCCAUAAAAACCAUGAAUGCUUCACACUAAAUAGGCAUAUACAUCGGAAUUUAGAGGGGAAUCACCGGAUGUAGUGUGCUAUGAGGCUGUUGAACUUGGUUGUCAUGUUGUCACUGCGCUGGAAACCUCGCUGAAAAGAUUCAAGAAGAAGCACCUAGUUGAGAGAGGGAGGCAAGGUAGAUGAAGAGAUAGAUCGGGAUGGAGUACAGGAGGGGAAAGAGAAACGGGGGAGGAUGAGCAUACCUGCAGCGUUCAUGGACUCUGCGAAUAUAAACGGUGGCCGUUGUUGUUGUCCUCGCGAGAACCUGAUGGAUACCCAAACCCUAGGUGCAAAAUAAAAAUUAAUUUAGGGAGGAAGAAAUCAAAAGGAGGCUCUUACACAGGAGGAAGUCCAAGGAUGCACUGAUCCAACUCCCUUGCUGCGUCCACCAUUUUCGUGUAAAUAGGUGAAAAGUGGAAAAAGGAGAUGGGAUAGGGGCUCACCUAUUCAACAAUCUCAAUAAGGCCACGCUGCCGGCGGAGAGGAUGCAUCGACCCCUUCCCCUCCUCACCCUCACGCCCCGCGACCCGCGCGCUUGCGCCGACGGGAGAGGGGAGGAGCCCACGGCCACGGCCUCCUCCUCCUCACGCAUCUGCCACUACCUCUCCUCACGCCCCGCGACCCCGCGCCGACGGGAGAGGAGAGGAGCCGACGGCCACGACCUCCUCCUCCUCACGCAUCUGCCACUCCCUCUCCUCGCUCUUGCGGCUGCCCGGUCGCUUCUCAUUUCCUUCUUAUCUCGCAGGAUUUUUUUACCUCUCGCGCGACGCGCUUGGCGGCGGCGGGCAGCGAGGUCGUGCGGGUCCUGCGGAGCGUGGCGGCGGACGAGGGAUGGAGGGAGGAGGGAGGGGGCUGGUGUGCUGUG
rnacentral:lncRNA from 1 species